GACGGAGGGGGCAAGCGUUAUCCGGAAUUCUUGGGCGUACAGGGUACGUAGGCAGCUGGUCAAGUCUGGGGUCAAAGGCCACAGCUCAACUGUGGGAAGGCCCUGGAAACUGACCGGCUAGAGUGAGGUAGGGGUUGCGGGAAUUCCCGGUGUAGCGGUGAAAUGCGUAGAGAUCGGGAAGAACACCUGAGGCGGAAGCGCACAACUGGGCCUCAACUGACGCUGAGGUACGAAAGCUAGGGGAGCGAAGGGG
rnacentral:rRNA from 1 species